GGGUCAAAAGGAGGCAAGGGAACAGACGCAAAAAGGUUGUACGGGUCACGGAGGAUCAUCAAGGAAUAAAGAUCGAGGACCGAGUCACAUGAAGGAUUGUACGGGGUUGUCUAAGGAUGUAAUUUGUUAUACAUAAGUUAUGAUUUAUUCUAUAAUUGAGUCAGUUUGAUGUAUUCAAUAUAAAAGAGUUAUUUUAAAA